AACGAACGCUGGCGGCAUGCCUAACACAUGCAAGUCGAACGAGACCUUCGGGUCUAGUGGCGCACGGGUGCGUAACGCGUGGGAACCUGCCCUUAGGUUCGGAAUAACUCCCCGAAAGGGGUGCUAAUACCGGAUAAUGUCUUCGGACCAAAGAUUUAUCGCCUUUGGAUGGGCCCGCGUUGGAUUAGCUAGUUGGUAGGGUAAAAGCCUACCAAGGCGACGAUCCAUAGCUGGUCUGAGAGGAUGAUCAGCCACACUGGGACUGAGACACGGCCCAGACUCCUACGGGAGGCAGCAGUAGGGAAUAUUGGACAAUGGGCGAAAGCCUGAUCCAGCAAUGCCGCGUGAGUGAUGAAGGCCUUAGGGAUGUAAAGCUCUUUUACCCGGGAUGAUAAUGACAGUACCGGGAGAAUAAGCUCCGGCUAACUCCGUG
rnacentral:rRNA from 1 species